AUUUUUUUUUACAUUAGCUUUAAUAACAUUUUAAAAUCUGUUCUUAUCAGUUUAAUAUCUGACAGGUUCUCUAUCCGAGAGCUUUAUAGUAAAUGGAUUUUUUAAACAGAGAGAAGGAAUAGGAGUUUGCUCCAUCCACUCCGCACUGCAAUCUGCUAUUUCAUAUUUCCGGGAAUGGUGCACCUCCC